UCAAAGAUAAGUGGGAUAAUGCUGGAACAUGGCGCUGAAGUGGGAGAUCAGACGGGAUCUCGGUAAAUGGCGAGCAGGUUCAAAGGGCAGAAUGGGCUCUUCCUUCUGCCUCUCCAUGUUGGUGUCCCACCCCUCCUCCAAUCCUAUCCUCCAAUGAAACAGAGGGCCACUAAAAUUCUGCCUAUAAAUGAUGGAACACGUCUAGCGAAGGGGAGCGGAGUGGGUUAAUCUCCGACACCAAUAUCCCGAGGAAAGGGAGUUGAUUUCUCCCAGUUUCUAACCAGUUGGUCGGGUAAAUCGCCCCGAGACAGAUGAGUGAACAUGUGGCUGAGUUACUGGUUCCUAGCGCUGACUUUGACCUGUGAAUGUUUGGCCCAGACCCUGAUCCAGCCCAAAGCAUCGCUUAGCAAGCCUGCCGGGAAAACGGGGAGAAUCGGGUGUCAAGUAAAUGGAACCAGGAUUAGCAGCUCCAACCCCAUUCACUGGUAUCAACAGAAACCCGGCCAAUCGCUCACAAGGAUGCUCUACUUUACAGACAGCACGACAUGGGACGAAGGAUUCGGGAAUUCCUACAAAAUUGAAAAAAAUACAGAUUCUGAAUUCUAUCUCAUUAUCGAAAGAUUAACGGCAGAACAAUCUGCCACUUAUUACUGCGCCUACUGGCUAUACACAGCGUGUAACAUAAACACAAACUCCGCACAAAAAGCCGAGUGUGUACCUGAUCCGGAGACUUCAUCGUCUUCGACCACAUCUUCUCCCAGGGCCAGGUGUUGGGGUCCGAACCAGAGGGUCGCCUUCCGUGGAGCGGUGGGUGAAGGAUGUAAGCAAACACACAAACACACCGGUGGGGCGGCAGAGGGAUACUGAUGCCCUGCGUUG